AACGCAAUAAGUAUCCCGCCUGGGGAGUACGGUCGCAAGACUGAAACUCAAAGGAAUUGACGGGGACCCGCACAAGCAGCGGAGCAUGUGGUUUAAUUCGAAGCAACGCGAAGAGCCUUACCAAGGCUUGACAUCCCUUGACCGCCAUGGAAACAUGGCUUCCCUUCGGGGCAAGGAGGCAGGUGGUGCAUGGUUGUCGUCAGCUCGUGUCGUGAGAUGUUGGGUUAAGUCCCGCAACGAGCGCAACCCUUAUCAUUAGUUGCCAGCACUUCGGGUGGGAACUCUAAUGAGACUGCCGGGGAUAACUCGGAGGAAGGUGGGGACGACGUCAAAUCAUCAUGCCCCUUAUGUCUUGGGCUACACACGUGCUACAAUGGCCGGUACAGAGGGCUGCGAAACCGUGAGGUGGAGCGAAUCCCAAAAAGCCGGUCUCA
rnacentral:rRNA from 1 species